rnacentral:ncRNA from 1 species
CUACCGGCGUGGCAACGCACCGGGAAGGGGCGGGAGAAGUCAGCAGAGGUCAUAGUAGUCGGGCGCGUGCCCGGCGAAGGAC